ACAUUUAACUAGCAUUUCAUUUUUUCAUUGUAAAUUGUUUUAUUAUUAAUACAGUUCAUAACUAAAAGAUACGAGAGUACAGUUUUAGUUUCCUAUAUAACAUAUAUUGUACAAAAUAAAAAACUACAGAAUAAGUAACAUUGUACAUAAUGUGCGAAUGCUAAAAUACUAUUUUUAAUGUAUCUGCUAUAAAUUUCUUAUGAGAAAUGAUAAAUGAACAGACGAUAAAUUCAUGAUGUUGGAAUAAAAUAAGAAAUAAUCUAUAAUAUAUGUACUGUUUUAUAAAUUCAUGAUAUAGGAAAGAGAUGCGGACGGGUUUUCAUCUGCCUUUAACAUGUUUAACUACCCAGGUGUAAAAUAAACUGUAUAAUUAGUUAACACAUGUUUUGUCAUUCAGCACGCUGAUAUUGAUUUAAAUUCCACUAUAAUUCUGUUUUCGUUAUGCUAUUCAUGUUUACUGUCAAAUAAUAAUACACGACUUUUAUUCUACCUGUAGGGCGAUGCAGUGCUAGUGUAUAUGCAAUGCAUUUUCACAGAUGGAAAUUAAUUAAUUUUCAUUAUGAAAAAUCCUACCUCAGCCGACUUUCUAACAACAUAUAUGAAGUCUGAAGGAUUGAUUAUUAUGCAUACUUCGUGAGUCAAGUUCCAAGGGAGUAUAUCAAUUAAUCUCGUAUACAUAUUAUUUAUUGCUAACAAAGUAAAUUCUAUUUUCUCUAAUAAUUUGUCCAGAUUAUUAUAUAAGGAAAACAUCUUGGACAGUUUAGCCGAAGUAGGAAGGAUUUCGGUUUCUGUCAAAAUCUACAUCACACAUAUAUAUAAGUGUAAUAAAACGUCAUAAGAUAUAUUUUCAUACUGCCUGCAGAAUGAAAAUGUUGUUAACUUCCUUUCAUUGUUUGUAUAAAUGUUAGCGUAAGAAUAGCAAUUAAAAUUGAGCAAAAUUGUAUACAAACAAAACAAGUAAGCCAACCCAAGCAUUCGGGAAAUGCAUCUUAGAUAACGUUCACAAAGCGAUCUUUAUUCCACGAGUAAGUGAGUGUUAACGUUUUCAUCUCGCACAACGAAUGCAUACAUUUGAUGCUUACAUGAAUAAUUGAUAUUUCACUUGCAGGCGUAUAUAAAUGUACAUCUUAUACAGCAAAGAAAGUUCGAGCAACAAUCGAGUUACCUUAAUGUACGUUUGCAUUUCUUACAAAUUGUUGUUUCAAAUCAGCAAAUAACAAUAAAAGUACAUAUUGAAUAUAAUUUAUGGUUACCUAGUCAAAUGGUGCUAUGACCGCUAUAUAGUUAAUGUCGGACGUUAAUUGUAUCGCAUAGCGAGGUUGGUACAUGUAGAUCGUCUUAAAUUUUCAACAAAGACUUAUUGGCGUACUGUUUAGUUAAGCAUUUAAUGUUUAUAAAAACAAAUUUGCUCCUGACAGCAUUUUACAUUUUUUUUAAAUUGCAUACGUGACUACCCUGUGACUUUUUAAGAUAGACAAGUCAGUAAAUUAUUUGUGAACAUCGUGAAAAUAACACUCCAUGUAACUCAAACAAAUAAAGCAUAGUCAGUUGGCUCUUACAUUAAAUGAGACCGUGUAUUAUGUGAUUUGUUGUUGUUUAAAAUUCACAAUGCGAAUAAGUAACCCGUUGUUUAUUUUAUUUGCAGACAUUUACUUACAAAGCAAAAACCUCUGCAAUUGAGAUAUCCAAUCGUUGUAUUAGCUGAUCGUAGAACAUGCAGAAAAAAAAUCUAUCCGUUCUGAACAAAUCUUAAUUUAAGUAUUUUAUGCAUAUCAGCUCUGACCUUAUAAUUUAGACACUGUAGUUAGGUUGCUUUCUUUAUUAUCGUUUGUUGUUAAUAAGAGUACUGUUCGUGGUGCAAAAGCCUAUCGAUAUGAUUGAUAUAUAUAUACAUUUGUAUGAAACGGCGUGAAAAAUUUUCAAAGCUUAUUUAAGUGACUGAGUAAUCUACUGUUCACAGAAAUAUCGCGGUCAAGAUACGUAAAAAUCAUGGAUGUUUGACUCCAGUAUAUUUUCGAAUCACACUUUAAUAGCAAACUCACCAAACGUAUUUGAAUAUGCAUGAUAUGAAAGUGUAUCAAUUUAAGACGAUAUAUGACCCUGACUUUCGCUUCCGAUGAGUGGGUUUCUA
rnacentral:lncRNA from 1 species